rfam:Oryza barthii chromosome 10, whole genome shotgun sequence.
UAUAAGUACAAUCAUAAGUUUCCGUUUCCAAUUUUGAUCGUUCGUCUUAUUUAAAAAAUCUUUAUAAUUAGUAUUUUUAUUGUUAUGAGAUGAUAAAAUAUAAAUAGUAUUUUACUCGUGACUUAUGUUUUUAAAUUUUUUUAAAAAAUUUUUAAAUAAGACGGACGGUUAAAGUUGGGCGCGGAAAACCAUAACUGCACUUAUA